UGGGGAAUAUUGCACAAUGGGCGCAAGCCUGAUGCAGCAACGCCGCGUGAACGAAGAAGGUCUUCGGAUUGUAAAGUUCUGUCCUUAGGGAAGAAGGAAGUGACGGUACCUAAGGAGGAAGCCCGGCUAACUACGUGCC
rnacentral:rRNA from 1 species